GAACCACAAAAGCAGAAGACCGGGGCAUGCUGUUGAAAACCUUUAAUGAGCCUGGCUCUGAGUAUUUCAUUUUCCUACUCAGUACCCGUGCUGGGGGGCUGGGCCUGAAUCUGCAGUCAGCUGACACUGUGAUCAUCUUUGACAGUGACUGGAAUCCUCACCAGGACCUGCAAGCACAGGAUCGUGCCCAUCGGAUUGGGCAGCAGAAUGAGGUGCGUGUGCUUCGCCUGUGCACCGUCAACAGUGUGGAAGAGAAGAUACUGGCUGCUGCUAAAUACAAACUCAAUGUGGAUCAGAAGGUCAUCCAGGCAGGCAUGUUUGACCAGAAGUCUUCCAGCCAUGAGAGGCGUGCCUUCCUGCAGGCCAUCCUGGAGCACGAGGAGCAGGACGAGGAGGAAGAUGAGGUGCCUGAUGAUGAGACCGUCAACCAGAUGAUUGCCCGGCACGAAGAAGAAUUUGACCUCUUCAUGCGCAUGGACUUGGACCGCCGGCGUGAAGAAGCCCGCAACCCCAAGCGGAAGCCACGCCUGAUGGAAGAGGAUGAGCUUCCAUCCUGGAUCAUCAAGGAUGAUGCAGAGGUAGAGCGGCUGACAUGUGAAGAGGAAGAGGAAAAGAUGUUCGGCCGUGGUUCUCGCCACCGCAAGGAGGUAGACUACAGCGACUCACUGACAGAGAAGCAGUGGCUCAAGGCUAUCGAGGAGGGCACGCUGGAGGAGAUCGAAGAGGAGGUCCGGCAGAAGAAAUCUUCACGUAAGCGUAAGCGAGACAGCGAGGCCGGCUCCUCCACCCCGACCACCAGCACCCGCAGCCGUGACAAGGACGAGGAGAGCAAAAAGCAGAAGAAACGUGGGCGGCCACCUGCCGAGAAGCUGUCCCCAAACCCACCUAACCUCACCAAGAAGAUGAAGAAGAUCGUGGACGCUGUGAUCAAGUACAAAGACAGCAGUAGUGGACGUCAGCUCAGUGAGGUGUUCAUUCAGCUCCCCUCUCGCAAGGAACUUCCUGAGUACUAUGAGCUCAUCCGGAAACCUGUGGACUUCAAGAAGAUCAAGGAACGCAUCCGAAACCACAAGUACCGCAGCCUCAAUGACCUGGAGAAGGACGUGAUGUUGCUGUGCCAGAAUGCUCAGACCUUCAACCUCGAGGGCUCCCUGAUCUACGAGGACUCCAUCGUCCUGCAGUCUGUCUUCACCAGCGUGCGGCAGAAAAUCGAGAAGGAGGAUGACAGUGAAGGCGAGGAAAGCGAGGAGGAAGAAGAGGGCGAGGAGGAAGGCUCUGAGUCUGAGUCCCGCUCUGUCAAGGUAAAGAUCAAGCUGGGUCGAAAGGAGAAGGCCCAGGACCGACUCAAGGGGGGCAGGCGGCGGCCAAGCCGGGGGUCCCGGGCCAAGCCUGUCGUGAGUGACGAUGACAGUGAUGAGGAGCAGGAGGAGGACCGCUCAGGAAGUGGCAGCGAGGAAGACUGAACCAGACAUUCCUGAGUUCUGACCCCGAGGCGCUCGUCCCGGCCAAGAUGGAGUAACCCUUAGCAGUGAUGGGUAGCACCAGAUGUAGUUUCGAACUUGGAGAACUGUACACAUGCAACCUUCCACAUUUUUAGGCAGAGAAGUAUAGGCCUGUCUGUUGGCCCUGGUCUGGCCUCGAGUCUCUACCAGCAUUAACUGUCUAGAGAGGGGACCUCCUGGGAGCACCAUCCACCUCCCCAGGCCCCAGUCACUGUAGCUCAGUGUGGAUGCAUGCGCGUGCCGUCCACUCCUUGUACUGUAUCUUACUGGACAGGGCCGACUCUCCGGGAGGCUCACAGGCCCCGCGGGUAUGUCAGUGUCACUGGAGUCAGACAGUAAUAAAUUAAACCAAUGACAAACC
rnacentral:lncRNA from 1 species